rnacentral:rRNA from 1 species
AGCGAACGCUGGCGGCAGGCCUAACACAUGCAAGUCGAACGAACUCUUCGGAGUUAGUGGCGGACGGGUGAGUAACACGUGGGAACGUGCCUUUUGGUUCGGAAUAACUCAGGGAAACUUGUGCUAAUACCGAAUGUGCCCUUCGGGGGAAAGAUUUAUCGCCAUUAGAGCGGCCCGCGUCUGAUUAGCUAGUUGGUGAGGUAACGGCUCACCAAGGCGACGAUCAGUAGCUGGUCUGAGAGGAUGACCAGCCACACUGGGACUGAGACACGGCCCAGACUCCUACGGGAGGCAGCAGUGGGGAAUCUUGCGCAAUGGGUGAAAGCCUGACGCAGCCAUGCCGCGUGAAUGAUGAAGGUCUUAGGAUUGUAAAAUUCUUUCACCGGGGACGAUAAUGACGGUACCCGGAGAAGAAGCCCCGGCUAACUUCGUG